rnacentral:rRNA from 1 species
GACAGAGGUGCCGAGCGUUAGGCGGAAUCACUGGGCUUAAAGCGUGUGUAGGCGGGUGCCUAAGUACCUUGUGAAAUCCCACGGCUCAACCGUGGAACUGCUUGGUAUACUGGGCGCCUUGAGCCACUUAGGGGCAACCGGAACAAACGGUGGAGCGGUGAAAUGCGUAGAUAUCGGAAGGAACACCAGUGGCGAAAGCGGCUUCCUGGUCCAGCACCGACGUUCAGGCACGAAAGCGUGGGGAGCAAACAGG